rnacentral:misc_RNA from 1 species
CGUCGAAGGUGGGGCUGAUGACUGGGGUGAAGUCGUAACAAGGUAUCCGUACCGGAAGGUGCGGAUGGAUCACCUCCUAACAGGGAGACAACACAAUGAUUUUGAUGCCUGAGUGCUUUUAUUCUUAGGCCGAAAUCCUGUCACCUUAGGUCGAUCGGUACCUCAGCUUUGAAGUCAAGAAUCAGCAGCAAUGUUGAUUGCUUGAUGGAGAUUUUCAGUUCCUAAACUUUGUCUAGGUCACACCCCAAAAGGGAUGAGACUCCUGGGCCAUUAGCUCAGGUGGUUAGAGCGCACCCCUGAUAAGGGUGAGGUCCCUGGUUCAAGUCCAGGAUGGCCCAUUCGGUGUUGGGGGUUUAGCUCAGUUGGUAGAGCGCCUGCUUUGCAAGCAGGAUGUCAGGAGUUCGAGUCUCCUAACCUCCACUGACCGAACUUGAUUCCCAUCUCCAAUUUUUUGGAGUUGAGCUCGAUUGGAGUGUGAUUUAGAUGUGUCCGCUGGAUGACCCCAGCUUCCUGUCAUUCCAAGUUUUAGGUUGAAGCCUUGAAUUUGGUUGAUAAGAUGCUGGGCUCGGAUCAAAUAAUCAAGUAAUUGAUGAUUUGAUUUGAAGUUCUAGCAGAACCUUGACAACUGCAUAGGUGAGUCUGGAAAAAACAAAGCAUCUUACAGAUGCAUUGUUUUGAAUCUAAUCUUCUGAAAAGGAGAUUGGAUCUAGAACAAUGAAAAUUCUUUUGAGCAAGAGCCGAGACUCUUGAACGUUCUUUGAUUUGUGUCGAGCGAAUCAGAGUUUGAUCUUGUUUUUAGCAAUAAAAACUUGAGAAUCUGCUUUCAACGGCGGUAAGCGUUCAGGAGGUUAAUUGGUCAAGCUACAAAGGGCUCACGGC